CAUGCGGGGGUACUUUCAUGCUUAAAAGUGACCAUGAGGCAUGGCAAUUAUUUGAAAACCUUAAUGAAAAUUCUCUCCACAAUGCUUCCUCCGCUCGUCAAGCACCCCCGAGUUCUCAAAGAAAAGGGACCAUAUAUGAAGUUAGCCAGUCCAUAGGUCUAUCCGACAAAGUAGAUGCACUGUCCCGCAAAUUGGACCAGCUAAUGUCUAGAGAACAGCUUCCAAACUUUCCCCAAGCACAAGUUUGUGCUCUUUGUUCUAGUCCGUCUCAUACUGUUUUUGAGU
rnacentral:lncRNA from 1 species